CUGGUAUACUUUCCUGGUGUACAUUUGUGGAGUAACACAGAAUUUGGGGCUUUCUCCAAGUCAACUUUAUUACUUGUUUUCCAACAGCUUCAACGAUAACUGAGCUUGGAGAGCCCUAGGAGAGCCCUCAGCCAGCAGUAGCAGACCUUGGAUCAGGCCCAUGAGAAUCCAGUGCCGUGGAAAAUGAAUCACCACUGUUUCUCCAGCAAGCUUCUUAACCUCCAAAUUCAGAAGUACAGCAGAGCUGAUGACUGCACUGAGUAUUUGUUAAAGGCCAGCAGAAAUGAUCCCUGAGGAACGUUGUCUUCACAUGAAAUAUGAAACAUCCAUUUUGUUAAGGUUAGAAGAUGUAACAGAUAAGCAUAAUUAAAGAAACAGAAGACUUACAUGUUUUGACAAGGAGUGGCAGAAGUACUGAACCCUUCUUCUCCAACAGCAAUGGGAGGCCAAAAGAGAUCUAAGCUGUGUGUGAGAAGGUCUGGUGCUGGAGGCAAGGUAACAUAUAGCAAAGACCUUCCAGGCUUCAGUCAACUGAGAACAACCCAAAAAAUUAUGCUGUAUAUCAGCGGCAACAGAUCUGCUCUCCAGCUUUCAGGUUAGAAUAAUUCUACCAUGUUUUCACAAAUCCAGCCCCUGAAGAAGAUACAGUUACUGGAUGAUCAUGGAAUCAUUGAAUCAUAGAAUAGGUUGGAUUAGAACAGACCUCAAGGAUCAUCACAUUCCAACCUCCCUGCCACAGGCAAAGUUGCCAACAGCUAGAUCAAGUUCUAGAUCAAGUUGCCCAGGGUCCCAUACAACCUGGCCUUGAAAGCAUCCCUAGGCAGCCUGUUCC
rnacentral:lncRNA from 1 species